rnacentral:lncRNA from 1 species
AUCCCGGUUAUCACUUACAAAUAAAUCCUCAAGUUGUUAAAAAGUCAUUAUUAUCAUUUGUUGCUUUAUAUCAAUCUAGUCACAAGAUCAUGGUCAUAAAAUUAAAACCCAAAUGCUAUACUUGCCUUGAUCCAAUUGCUCCUGCUGGUCCUACUGAUCUUACUUGCUUCCAAGGCUCUGAUCUUGAUCACCGAAGUAAUGCCCACUGUCUAAUCUCGAUCAUCGAUUAUCGACACACAAGCAUUCAAGGCCACACAUACACAAAGCAAACAAAGCUACAAUUAGAACAGUACACCAGCAGUAAAUAAAUUUAAAUAAAAGUUUCCGAAAUCAUCUACACGCUGCUACGAUCACAUCAACGAGAAAUUCACGGAAAACGGAGUUACGACGCGAAAGUUACGCUUUUAACGGGAUUUCAACAGCAGUUUACGGACUUGUAAUUAACUAGGGAAUCUAACAGUGGUGAAUCUAGCCAACAAAGGUACCAACGCGAAGCUUAUGAAAUUAUAAAACUAACGCAACUUGAACGGAUCGAAUCGGAGCUAAAACGGAGAAGAUAUGAAUUUUCUAACAUUUUCUUUAGAAAAGUAAUUAAUUAAAUAGGGUCACAAAAUUAAAGUGAUACAAAUUGUUAAACCAAGUUUACUAACGUAAAGUUCAUGUGAUUACGAAUCUAACGCAAUUUGAACGGGUCAAAUCGGAGUUAAAACGAAUAUUUUAUGAGCAAAACAGUUUCAAUGGUAAACUUGUAAAUACUAGAAAGCGUAUUCUGAUUCAAACCGAGACUCUACGCUUCUCCAAAAGUAAAGCGUAUUCCCUGCAAAACGACAUGGACUGCGGGUUGAUAAUCUAAAACUAUAGGGACUCUUUAACAAAAUGAGCCCCGAAGGGGUACGGAGCGUUCUGGUCCGUUGGAUCACAGAUGAACGGCCCGGAUUAAAAGAAAAGAAAGAAAAAGGAAAAAAAACAAAUAAGAAAGAGAGGGAAGGGGUGCGCACCGGCCAGAGCUGAGCAAAGUCACGGCGGUGGCCAUGGAUUCCGGCCAAAGCUCGUCGGCGCAAAUGGAUCGGCAGCUACGGUGCACGGUUUUCGAUUCCGUUUGAACCAGGAGAAAGAGGAGAGCGAUGCGAGUCCAUUCCAAACCAUAAACGCGGUCGAGGAGGCGGUUUCCGAGAAGGUUCAUGGCGACGCCAUGAACGUCGUGUCGGAGCUUGCGGAACUGGGACUCCGGGCCACGAUUCGCUCGGCAACAGGACGGGGAGGGAGCGGGGAAGAAGACGGAGCUCACCACAGCGCUAAUUCGGAGCGAAAACGGCUCGGGACGGCGGCUUCGCGUGGCGGGCGGAAAACUCCGGUGACGGUUUCUCUCUACGCACGCACGGACGGGAGCAGAAGCGAGGAGAGGGGAACUGGGGAGGAGAAGGAGACGCGCGGCUCGCAGCCCACUACUUAUCCAAGCGCGGGAGGGGAGAACGUGGGGAGCGGGGAGAGGAUCGCACGGUUGCGGCUUCAUGAGAGAGAGAGGCGGUUGGAGGAAAGGGAUGAAGCUGACGCGUGGGCUCCGCUUGUCAGCCACUGGAGAGAGAGGAGGAGGAAGGGGGUUGGUCGGCUGGGCCGACUGGGCCAAAAGGGAAAGAAGGGUUUUGUUUUUUUUCAACUCAUUUUCAAAAGCAUUUUCAAUUUGAAUUUUGAACAAAUCUUUCUUUUGCAAAAUUCACACAUCACAAAAUAAAAUGCCACAGCAUGAAUGCACACACAAAAAAAUGUUUUCUAAACUUAUAUUAAAUUUUAUUUUCCCAAAAUUUAUUUAUUAUUUUUUUUCCUAUAUUUUAUGAGCACAAAAUAGCAAAUUAAAUUAUUUUUCAUCUAUUUCCAAAAGAGCAAAAUUUAGGGUGUUACAAUUCUACCCCCCUUAAAAAUGAAUCUCGUCCUCGAGAUUCGAAAGAGGCUCAGGUCCUCUGAGCGAAACAGGAAAAUAUCUUGAUAAUCCUUUCAACUUCACAACUUGCAUACCAAACUUAAACACUUGUCUCAAGGUCACACCUCGUGAACAACAUUUCCAUUGAAUAACUAUUUUUCAUAGUUGACCGAAGUCCAUCUUGACUACUAAUCCUCUUAUCUUACAACUCCAAGAGACAUAGAAACUUAAUAUGCAUUUGCUUCAUCAGGUAGGAGUGGGCCACCAUGAUACUCAAUUCUUUUUCCUGACGGUGUUGUUAAGAGCAUUUUGUACUGGGUACCAUAGGUCACUCCUUUGUGUGCACACAACCAUCCAUUACCAAGGACCAAGGGAAUACCAAGUGACUCUAGCACAAUGAGGUUUACAGCGAAGUUUUCUUUGUUUAUGACCAGAUUGAUAUUUGAGCACACCUGAUCUGCUUGUCUUUCUCCCACUAGGGUUUGAACUAAUAAAGGCUUCCUCGUUGGGCACUUCACCCACUCGAUCGUCUUUACCAAGUCAGCAGAAAUGAAAGAAUGCGAAGCACUCGGGUCAAAGAGGGCAAAAACUUGCACUAAGUCUACUUGAAUAUAACCACCAACCACUUUGGUAGCUCCAUGAAUGUUAUGCCUAUCCACAUUGCUCAGUCUCCCAUUGAUAUAGUCUCGUUGCACCCUACUUCCAUGAGCAGGCUUCUUACAGCUUUUCCUUUUUCUCUUUCGCCGUUGUGGAUUCUGAUUUGAUUCACUUCCAACUUGCUCUUGAGUAUCAUUAUUUUGAUAGCAUUCAGUUUCAUCAUACUCAUAACAUCCUUCAGAGGCAGGAUCAUCAUUCUCUUCCCACGUAUCAGUAAGAGGCAUCAUAUAGGGCUCCUGAUCCAUGGGAUACUACACUCCCUGUCAUCAAGUGACCAACAUCAAUAACACGAGAAGGAGAGAUGAUCAUAUCCAUAGAUUAUCUCAAGAGACAACUCUCACUUCAGGAUAAGUUGAAAAUGCAUCAACCCGUGAUAUCAAGGUACUACCCCCCUUAAGAAAGGUCGGCUAGGAGGCACAAGGAAGGUAGCUUGCACUUUUUCCUGACAAGUUAUCUUGCAUUGAGACCUUUUUGACAUCCCAAGGAACUUAUGUGCAAGGAUGAAACAUACAUCCUAAAAUUUCCUCACGAUAUGAAAAUUACUAGUGCAGAAAAAUAGACAUAACUCUUGUUCUAUUAAUCCAAUAGGGCCAUAGCUUAUACCGUUAGAAAGCUUAGAAAAUUUUCUACAACCUUUCUGCAGAACACUUUUCCAAAUUCUAUAGUUAUAUUUGUCCAAAACAGCAGGCAACCAAAACUGGUCCAGAUUCUUGACAGCACAUCUAUAUCGUCUUGUGAUUUUUGUAACUUCCAAACCAUAAUAGCUAUGGGGGUGAUUCUUGCGGUCAGAGAAAGAUCUUGAAGUCCACUCUCAUUCAGAAUUUUAUCAUGAUUUUUAUUCAUCCAAGAUCAGAGACAUAAGCCGAUAAAGAUGAGAUACUCUAGAAAGGCACGAUAAGGUAACAAGAGAAAAACCAAAACCCAACUAUUUAUGUCAUUAAUCCUUAUGCCUUAGACAUAUAAACUAAAUGAAAUUGUGAAGAAACUCACAAGAUCAUUACACUCAUUACAAAGAUCCAAAUCAAACAUAAACAUAAAGAAAAUUCAACCAAGCAGUAAAGGUUCACAUGGCACACAAACUCGAUUUUCGCUGCUAGCGUUUUUAUUACACAAGGGCACAAACUCCUAUAUCUUAAACUCAGUGUGGCUUCUUUCAUGAUACUACUGUUGGUUCUUCUGUGGACAAGACUUUACAUAGUGUCCUUCCUGUCGGCAGUGAUAACACUUUUUCUUAGCUGGAUCCUUCGUGAUAUGAUUUUCCACUGAGGUGUUGCUCGGUGUGUUAUCAGCUCGCUGACUCUGAAGGUUUGUCUCUGGCUGGCUAGCUUUCUUCCUAACUUGGUUGAUCCUUCGAGGUUGAAACUCUUUAUAAGUGAUGGUUCAUCCAUCUAUGCAUACCUCAUGAGCAGUGGGGUUAGCUUGAGAAGUUUCUUCAUCUCCAAGGUUUGGAUUUUCAUGGCCAAAGUCCAAAGCUAAAUGUGACAACUUAGGAUUUGAAUGUUGUUCACUUCCCAAUGCUGGCUCUAGUGAUUUUGCCUUCCUCUUCUUAUCCUCAUUAGUCACAUAAUUUGGUUUUACCUUAACGUCCUUUUUAGAUGCCCUAUUCCGAAGACAAGGAAGACUAUAAUGCCUACAGCAAUGGCAUUGAUCCUGAUAUCCCGAUGUAUUACUACCAACACCUCCAUGGGUUCUCAUAUUUUUCCAAGCUUCUGCUACUUGUCUCUUCACUGGUCCUGAGAUGCACUGCUGAGAGUUCCCAUUCUGAGUCAUUCCUUCCACUACUUGCUUUUGCAUGGCUAGAAGCUUCUCCUUGUCGAAUGCUUUUACGGGUGGCAUCUCUAAGUCCUUUUGUUCAUUCAUGUCAAAGGUCUCCUCGUUAUGAGCCAUCUAAAUAGACAAGGUGGUUGGAUUUAGAAUAGAGACAAAGUUUUAUAACAGAAUAGGGCAGAGGUAAGUAUAUUUUUUUAGCAAUUAUCAAGGUUAAGGUGAAAGCAAGAAGUAAGCAGAGAUAGAAGCAUCCUAAAACGUCCGGUUCUAACUAGGCUUCCGUCCUACAGUCAGCAUUGCUUUGAUACCACUUUGUAACACCCGAUUUUAAGAACAAAAUCAGAUAUGCACCAUAUGUGAGUUUUAGAAGACAAGCCUCACAUAUAGCUACAAAUAAGAGUUAAUAUCAAAGGACAAUGCAUAAAUUACAUAGCGUACAUAGUAAAUCAGAAACAACCUUAGGCAGCAAACCAUGGAAUAUAACUCCAAACUUCGGGUGUUAACUUCACUCUACAGGAUCCAACUGACUGGUUGAUCACAAGCCCAAAACUUCUCCUGAGGUGUGGGGGAGAUAGCAAGAGUGAGUUCAAGACGAACCCCGCAAGUAUAGCAACUAGAUAGUAUAGAUCCCACGGUCUCAUGAUCAAUGUGACAUAAAUAAUAUAGAGCAUUAAACAAUAAUCAAUGAGUUUCUUAACACAAGAUUCAUCACCCUUAAUGUAAGAGUUCCCAAGGCCGCUCGUGACCGUGAGCACGGCUAGUAUACCAGUAUUUUAACACUCUCAGAGGUUGUACAUCUUUACCCAUGAGUCAUGAUUUACCCUUUCGCCUGAGGUGAUCAGCCUCGUAACCCACUACCAAGGUAGGUCGGCAGGGAUCACUAUAAAGUCUUUCAAAGGUUCGUCUAACAAGUUAGGGCCGCUUGGUUUCGGUAGUCAGUCCAUGUGAUUCUACCCCGCAGGGGAUCCACGGUCUGCUAUCCCCCAUUUGCGCCACACGGGUAACCUCUAACAAGCUAGAAAAGUUACUCAUACUUGACUAAAGCCAGAGCCAUUAUAGCCCUCAUGGUUGCACUUUCAUCCCGGUUAUCACUUACGAAUAAAUCCUCAAGUUGUUAAAAAGUCAUUAUUAUCAUUUGUUGCUUUAUAUCAAUCUAGUCACAAGAUCAUGGUCAUAAAAUUAAAACCCAAAUGCUAUACUUGCCUUGAUCCAAUUGCUCCUGCUGGUCCUACUGAUCUUACUUGCUUCCAAGGCUCUGAUCUUGAUCACCGAAGUAAUGCCCACUGUCUAAUCUCGAUCAUCGAUUAUCGACACACAAGCAUUCAAGGCCACACAUACACAAAGCAAACAAAGCUACAAUUAGAACAGUACACCAGCAGUAAAUAAAUUUAAAUAAAAGUUUCCGAAAUCAUCUACACGCUGCUACGAUCACAUCAACGAGAAAUUCACGGAAAACGGAGUUACGACGCGAAAGUUACGCUUUUAACGGGAUUUCAACAGCAGUUUACGGACUUGUAAUUAACUAGGGAAUCUAACAGUGGUGAAUCUAGCCAACAAAGGUACCAACGCGAAGCUUAUGAAAUUAUAAAACUAACGCAACUUGAACGGAUCGAAUCGGAGCUAAAACGGAGAAGAUAUGAAUUUUCUAACAUUUUCUUUAGAAAAGUAAUUAAUUAAAUAGGGUCACAAAAUUAAAAUGAUACAAAUUGUUAAACCAAGUUUACUAACGUAAAGUUCAUGUGAUUACGAAUCUAACGCAAUUUGAACGGGUCAAAUCGGAGUUAAAACGAAUAUUUUAUGAGCAAAACAGUUUCAAUGGCAAACGUGUAAAUACUGGAAAGCGUAUUCUGAUUCAAACCGAGACUUUACGCUUCUCCAAAAGCAAAGCGUAUUCCCUGCAAAACAACAUGGACUGCGGGUUGAUAACCUAAAACUAUAGGGACUCUUUAACAUAAUGAGCCCCGAAGGGAUACGGAGCGUUCUGGUCCGUUGGAUCACAGAUGAACGGCCCGGAUUAAAAGAAAAGAAAGAAAAAGAAAAAAACAAAUAAGAAAGAGAGGGAAGGGGUGCGCACCGGCCAGAGCUGAGCAAAGUUACGGCGGUGGCCAUGGAUUCCGGCCAAAGCUCGCCGGCGCAAAUGGAUCGGCAGCUACGGUGCACGAUUUUCGAUUCCGUUUGAACCAGGAGAAAGAGGAGAGCGAUGCGAGUCCAUUCCAAACCAUAAACGCGGUCGAGGAGGCGGUUUCCGAGAAGGUCGGAGCUCGCGGAACUAGGACUCCGGGCCACGAUUCGCUCGGCAACAGGACGGGGAGGGAGCGGGGAAGAAGACGGAGCUCACCACAGCGCUAAUUCGGAGCGAAAACGGCUCGGGACGGCGGCUUCGCGCGGCGGGCGAAAAACUCCGGCGACGGUUUCUCUCUACGCGCGCACGGACGGGAGCAGAAGCGAGGAGAGGGGAACUGGGGAGGAGAAGGAGACGCGCGGCUCGCAGCCCACUACUUAUCCAAGCGCGGGGAGGGGAGAACGUGGGGGAGCGGGGAGAGGAGCGCACGGUUGCGGCUUCAUGAGAGAGAGAGGCGGUUGGAGGAAAGGGAUGAAGCUGACGCGUGGGCCCCACUUGUCAGCCACCGGAGAGAGAGGAGGAGGAAGGGGGUUGGCCGGCUG